CCUUAUUUUUCAGUGAGAACGUCUUUAUGGUCACACCUACCUUGUGAAUGGCUUCAAUAUCGUACACAGGCCUACCAUGUUGGCACAUGUACAUAAGCGGCCUCACCAUUCUUAUUGGCUCGGCGUAAAAUUGCAUGAUCUUUCUCACUAGGAUAAAGGGAAGUUGACAAAGAAUAUGCUAUUCUGAAAUUCGAGUGGGUUACUUUACAUGGAUUUAGAGGUUUGAGGUGUAAAGUCGCAUGAUCCUUCUCACUAGGAUGAAGGGAAGCUGAAAAAGAAUCAUGCUAUUCUGAAAAUCAAGUGGGUCAUCCCACAUGAA